rnacentral:rRNA from 1 species
AGCGUACACGGUGGAUGCCCUGGCAGUCAGAGGCGAUGAAGGACGUGCUAAUCUGCGAAAAGCGUCGGUAAGGUGAUAUGAACCGUUAUAGCCGGCGAUGUCCGAAUGGGGAAACCCAGUGCAAUUCGUUGCACUAUCGUUUGAUGAAUACAUAGUCAAACGAGGCGAACCGGGGGAACUGAAACAUCUAAGUACCCCGAGGAAAAGAAAUCAACCGAGAUUCCCCCAGUAGCGGCGAGCGAACGGGGAGCAGCCCGGAGUCUGAAUCAGCUUGUGUGUUAGUGGAAGCGUCUGGAAAGUCGCAGGGUACAGGGUGAUACUCCCGUACACUAAAACACACAGGCUGUGAACUCGAAGAGUAGGGCGGGACACGUGGUAUCCUGUCUGAAUAUGGGGGGACCAUCCUCCAAGGCUAAAUACUCCUGACUGACCGAUAGUGAACCAGUACCGUGAGGGAAAGGCGAAAAGAACCCCGGCGAGGGGAGUGAAAAAGAACCUGAAACCGUGUACGUACAAGCAGUAGGAGCCUCUUUAUGGGGUGACUGCGUACCUUUUGUAUAAUGGGUCAGCGACUUAUAUUCUGUAGCAAGGUUAACCGUAUAGGGGAGCCGCAGGGAAACCGAGUCUUAACUGGGCGUUAAGUUGCAGGGUAUAGACCCGAAACCCGGUGAUCUAGCCAUGGGCAGGUUGAAGGUUGGGUAACACUAACUGGAGGACCGAACCGACUAAUGUUGAAAAAUUAGCGGAUGACUUGUGGCUGGGGGUGAAAGGCCAAUCAAACCGGGAGAUAGCUGGUUCUCCCCGAAAGCUAUUUAGGUAGCGCCUCGUGAACUCAUCUUCGGGGGUAGAGCACUGUUUCGGCUAGGGGGUCAUCCCGACUUACCAACCCGAUGCAAACUACGAAUACCGAAGAAUGUUAUCACGGGAGACACACGGCGGGUGCUAACGUCCGUCGUGAAGAGGGAAACAACCCAGACCGCCAGCUAAGGUCCCAAAGUCAUGGUUAAGUGGGAAACGAUGUGGGAAGGCCCAGACAGCCAGGAUGUUGGCUUAGAAGCAGCCAUCAUUUAAAGAAAGCGUAAUAGCUCACUGGUCGAGUCGGCCUGCGCGGAAGAUGUAACGGGGCUAAACCAUGCACCGAAGCUGCGGCAGCGACACUAUGUGUUGUUGGGUAGGGGAGCGUUCUGUAAGCCGUUGAAGGUGGCCUGUGAGGGUUGCUGGAGGUAUCAGAAGUGCGAAUGCUGACAUAAGUAACGAUAAUGCGGGUGAAAAACCCGCACGCCGGAAGACCAAGGGUUCCUGUCCAACGUUAAUCGGGGCAGGGUGAGUCGACCCCUAAGGCGAGGCCGAAAGGCGUAGUCGAUGGGAAACAGGUUAAUAUUCCUGUACUCGGUGUUACUGCGAAGGGGGGACGGAGAAGGCUAUGUUGGCCGGGCGACGGUUGUCCCGGUUUAAGCAUGUAGGCGGAUGUUCCAGGUAAAUCCGGAACGUUAUUAACGCUGAGGUGUGAUGACGAGGCACUACGGUGCUGAAGUGACAAAUGCCCUGCUUCCAGGAAAAGCCUCUAAGCAUCAGGUAACAUCAAAUCGUACCCCAAACCGACACAGGUGGUCAGGUAGAGAAUACCAAGGCGCUUGAGAGAACUCGGGUGAAGGAACUAGGCAAAAUGGUGCCGUAACUUCGGGAGAAGGCACGCUGAUAUGUAGGUGAAGUGGUUUACCCAUGGAGCUGAAAUCAGUCGAAGAUACCAGCUGGCUGCAACUGUUUAUUAAAAACACAGCACUGUGCAAACACGAAAGUGGACGUAUACGGUGUGACGCCUGCCCGGUGCCGGAAGGUUAAUUGAUGGGGUUAUCCGUAAGGAGAAGCUCUUGAUCGAAGCCCCGGUAAACGGCGGCCGUAACUAUAACGGUCCUAAGGUAGCGAAAUUCCUUGUCGGGUAAGUUCCGACCUGCACGAAUGGCGUAAUGAUGGCCAGGCUGUCUCCACCCGAGACUCAGUGAAAUUGAACUCGCUGUGAAGAUGCAGUGUACCCGCGGCAAGACGGAAAGACCCCGUGAACCUUUACUAUAGCUUGACACUGAACACUGGUCCUUGAUGUGUAGGAUAGGUGGGAGGCUUUGAAGUGUGGACGCCAGUCUGCAUGGAGCCAUCCUUGAAAUACCACCCUUUAAUGGCUGGUGUUCUAACGUGGGCCCCUAAUCGGGGUUGCGGACAGUGUCUGGUGGGUAGUUUGACUGGGGCGGUCUCCUCCUAAAGAGUAACGGAGGAGCACGAAGGUCAGCUAAUCCUGGUCGGACAUCAGGAGGUUAGUGCAAUGGCAUAAGCUGGCUUGACUGCGAGCGUGACGGCGCGAGCAGGUGCGAAAGCAGGUCAUAGUGAUCCGGUGGUUCUGAAUGGAAGGGCCAUCGCUCAACGGAUAAAAGGUACUCCGGGGAUAACAGGCUGAUACCGCCCAAGAGUUCAUAUCGACGGCGGUGUUUGGCACCUCGAUGUCGGCUCAUCACAUCCUGGGGCUGAAGUAGGUCCCAAGGGUAUGGCUGUUCGCCAUUUAAAGUGGUACGCGAGCUGGGUUUAGAACGUCGUGAGACAGUUCGGUCCCUAUCUGCCGUGGGCGCUGGAGAAUUGAGGGGGGCUGCUCCUAGUACGAGAGGACCGGAGUGGACGCAUCACUGGUGUUCGGGUUGUCAUGCCAAUGGCAUUGCCCGGUAGCUAAAUGCGGAAGAGAUAAGUGCUGAAAGCAUCUAAGCACGAAACUUGCCCCGAGAUGAGUUCUCCCUGACUCCUUGA